rnacentral:tRNA from 1 species
GGAUUCUAAACUAAACUAUUCUAUGUG